CCUACGGGAGGCAGCAGUGGGGAAUAUUGGGCAAUGGGCGCAAGCCUGACCCAGCAACGCCGCGUGAAGGAAGAAGGCUUUCGGGUUGUAAACUUCUUUUCUGAGGGACGAAGCAAGUGACUGUACAUCAGGAAUAAGCCACGUCUAACUACGUGCCAGCCGCCGCGGUAAUACGUAGGUGGCAAGCGUUAUCCGGAUAUAUGGGGUGUAAAGUGCGUGUAGGCGGGAAAGCAAGUCAGAUGUGAAAACGCAGGGCUCAACCCUGAGCCUGCAUUUGAAACUGGUUUUCUUGAGUGCUGGAGAGGCAAUCGGAAUUCCGGGUGUAGCGGUGAAAUGCGUAGAUAUACGGAGGAACACCAGUGGCGAAGGCGGAUUGCUGGACAGUAACUGACGCUGAGGCGCGAAAGCGUGGGGAGCAAACAGGAUUAGAUACCCGUGUAGUG
rnacentral:rRNA from 1 species